rnacentral:ncRNA from 1 species
GUAGUUGGAUUUUGGGCGCAGGCGGCCGGUCCGUCGCAAGGCGUGUACUGGACGUCCUGGCCCUUCCCUACCGGUUCUCCGCCGGUGCUCUUGACUGAGUGUCGGCGGCGGCCGGAACGUUUACUUUGAAAAAAUUAGAGUGUUCAAAGCAGGCUCUCGAGCCUGGAUAAUGGUGCAUGGAAUAAUGGAAUAGGACCUCGGUUCUAUUUUGUUGGUUUUCGGAGCGCGAGGUAAUGAUUAAGAGGGACAGACGGGGGCAUUCGUACUGUGCCGUUAGAGGUGAAAUUCUUGGAUCGGCGCAAGACGAACGACUGCGAAAGCAUUUGCCAAGAAUGUUUUCUUUAAUCAAGAGCGAAAGUCAGAGGUUCGAAGACGAUCAGAUACCGUCCUAGUUCUGACUAUAAACGAUGCCAACUAGCGAUCGGGGGGCGUUACAUUGACGACCCCUCCGGCAGCUUACGGGAAACCAAAGUCUUUGGGUUCCGGGGGAAGUAUGGUUGCAAAGCUGAAACUUAAAGGAAUUGACGGAAGGGCACCACCAGGAGUGGAGCCUGCGGCUUAAUUUGACUCAACACGGGAAAUCUCACCCGGCCCGGACACAGUGAGGAUUGACAGAUUGAGAGCUCUUUCUUGAUUCUGUGGGUGGUGGUGCAUGGCCGUUCUUAGUUGGUGGAGCGAUUUGUCUGGUUAAUUCCGAUAACGAACGAG